UACGUAGGGGGCAAGCGUUGUUCGGAAUUACUGGGCGUAAAGGGCGCGUAGGCGGCAUGGCAAGUCAGGAGUGAAAGGCCUGGGCUCAACCGAGGAACUGCUUUUGAUACUGCCAAGCUAGAGUGCGGAAGGGGCAACUGGAAUUCCCAGUGUAGCGGUGAAAUGCGUAGAUAUUGGGAAGAACACCUGAGGCGAAGGCGGGUUGCUGGGCCGACACUGACGCUGAGGCGCGAAAGCCAGGGGAGCAAGCGGG
rnacentral:rRNA from 1 species